rnacentral:misc_RNA from 1 species
AAUUGUGUUUGCUCGCAAACGAAAAAAAAACCGACUUCAAUUACAUCGACAAGUAAUACAACGUAGAUCGACGAAAAAUAGUCAAGCAACUACGCGCUAUCAAAGAUUACUCAAAAAGUUGUUAUCAGAUCUCAAUAAAAUUUAUAUGUGACCACAUGAUAAACAUCAGCUUUCGAUUAAAUUAAAAAUUAUCAAAAUCGGUACACCCAGUAAAAGUUAUUACGGAUUUUCAAGAGCUUCCCUCGAUUUCUCUGGGAUCCCAUCAUCAGAUCCUAGUUUCCUUAUCACGGUACCAAACUAGGGAUAUCCCCUUUCCAACAAAAAAAGAAUUAUCAAAAUCGGUACAUCCAGUAGAAAGUUAUGCGUUAUAAUACAACGUAGGUCGACGAAAAAAGCGUCAAGUAAAAACGCAUUAUUAGAUAUAGCUCGAAAAGUAGUUGUUAGAUCUCAUAUAAAUUUAAAUGGGACCAAUUGGCACACACCACCUUUCGAUUAAAAGAAAAUUUGUCGAAAUCGCUCCACCCAGUCAAAAGUUCUGAUGUAACAUACAUAAAAAAAAUAAAAAAAAAAAUACAGUCGAAUUGAGAACCUCCUCCUUUUUUGGAAGUCGGUUAAAAAGGGAUA